GGCAGCAGUGGGGAAUAUUGCGCAAUGGACGAAAGUCUGACGCAGCGACGCCGCGUGAGGGACGAAGGUCUUCGGAUCGUAAACCUCUGUCAGAAGGGAAGAAGUGUAGUGGGAGUAACUGUCUGCUACUUGACGGUACCUUCAGGGGAAGCACCGGCUAACUCCGUGCCAGCAGCCGCGGUAAUACGGAGGGUGCGAGCGUUAAUCGGAAUUACUGGGCGUAAAGCGCGCGUAGGCGGCUUUGUAAGUCAGGGGUGAAAGCCCACGGCUCAACCGUGGCAUUGCCUUUGAUACUGCAGGGCUUGAGUUCGAGAGAGGGUGGUGGAAUUCCAGGUGUAGGAGUGAAAUCCGUAGAGAUCUGGAGGAACAUCAGUGGCGAAGGCGACCACCUGGCUCGAUACUGACGCUGAGGUGCGAAAGCGUGGGUAGCAAACAGGAUUAGAUACCCUGGUAGUCCACGCUGUAAACGAUGGGUGCUAGGUGUUGGGGGUAUAUCCCUCGGUGCCGUAGCUAACGCGAUAAGCACCCCGCCUGGGGAGUACGGUCGCAAGGCUGAAACUCAAAGAAAUUGACGGGGGCCCGCACAAGCGGUGGAGUAUGUGGUU
rnacentral:rRNA from 1 species